rnacentral:rRNA from 1 species
AGCGGACAGAUGGGAGCUUGCUCCCUGAUGUUAGCGGCGGACGGGUGAGUAACACGUGGGUAACCUGCCUGUAAGACUGGGAUAACUCCGGGAAACCGGGGCUAAUACCGGAUGCUUGUUUGAACCGCAUGGUUCAAACAUAAAAGGUGGCUUCGGCUACCACUUACAGAUGGACCCGCGGCGCAUUAGCUAGUUGGUGAGGUAAUGGCUCACCAAGGCAACGAUGCGUAGCCGACCUGAGAGGGUGAUCGGCCACACUGGGACUGAGACACGGCCCAGACUCCUACGGGAGGCAGCAGUAGGGAAUCUUCCGCAAUGGACGAAAGUCUGACGGAGCAACGCCGCGUGAGUGAUGAAGGUUUUCGGAUCGUAAAGCUCUGUUGUUAGGGAAGAACAAGUACCGUUCGAAUAGGGCGGUACCUUGACGGUACCUAACCAGAAAGCCACGGCUAACUACGUGCCAGCAGCCGCGGUAAUACGUAGGUGGCAAGCGUUGUCCGGAAUUAUUGGGCGUAAAGGGCUCGCAGGCGGUUCCUUAAGUCUGAUGUGAAAGCCCCCGGCUCAACCGGGGAGGGUCAUUGGAAACUGGGGAACUUGAGUGCAGAAGAGGAGAGUGGAAUUCCACGUGUAGCGGUGAAAUGCGUAGAGAUGUGGAGGAACACCAGUGGCGAAGGCGACUCUCUGGUCUGUAACUGACGCUGAGGAGCGAAAGCGUGGGGAGCGAACAGGAUUAGAUACCCUGGUAGUCCACGCCGUAAACGAUGAGUGCUAAGUGUUAGGGGGUUUCCGCCCCUUAGUGCUGCAGCUAACGCAUUAAGCACUCCGCCUGGGGAGUACGGUCGCAAGACUGAAACUCAAAGGAAUUGACGGGGGCCCGCACAAGCGGUGGAGCAUGUNGGUUUAAUUCGAAGCAACGCGAAGAACCUUACCAGGUCUUGACAUCCUCUGANAAUCCUAGAGAUAGGACGUC